AAGGGGAUCAUAAGGCAAGGAAACCGGGACGUCAAGCGGACAAGCCGGUGGUGAUACGCGCUUGAAGGGAGUGCUUUGAAGGUGAUGCUCGUUUGUUGUGGAUGUUGAUCAAGCAAGGGAAUCAAGAACCGAACACAAGUUUUGAAUGCUUCCGCGCUAAUCUAAUCUAGUUUAAAACAUGUUGUUUUGUAAACUCUUUUGAAUGUUGAACAUUUUAAUCUAGUUAGUCGACUAUGUCGAAAUACUAU